CCGUGAUGACGAUCGUUAAGACCGGAAACAGGGGUUGGUGACAACUUCACUCUUAAAUUUCAUGAACGGAGAAGAAAAAGAAGAUGAUAGGUCUGGGAAAUGUAAGAGUGCAGUUGUCACCAACCAAGUUGUGGUCCCCUUGAUAUUUCUACCUUGAUAACCCGGCCAAGCCCAGAUCCACUCCUCUGUUGGGUGGCACGCAGCAUCUUCCCUCUUUCAGCCAAUCCCCCAAACUCCACCAAUUCCUUCAAAGCCACAAACUUUUUGGCUCUGGCUCUGGCUCUGGCUCCUGUCCCUUUGUGGGCUUGAGGGACCUUCUAUGCUUUCACUUGCUGUAGCUGUCGAGGCUAAGCGCCGGAGAGGAUAUAGGCCAAGACCAUGACACUCUCAGCCCUCAUCGGCCCCAUCUACAGUCCACCCCUACCAAACUAAAAUUGACACCCCCUGCACCACCACUCCCAGCAGCACCAACAUGGCAGCCCAGGCGGCCAGCGACACUUUCCACUGGCGGUGGGCCUGCGGCUACCACCGGUGGACAACGGCAACGGGGACGGGGGAGUUAUCCUCUGAGGCUGGCCUUGCCACGGCCACCAGGCCUUGAUGCGGAGACCCCUGGGUAGCUUCCCGGUGCACUUACACCAGCGAUCGUCAUCGGGCGACGAGGCCCAGUGCUCCAUAUGCCUCAGCUUCUUGAUAGAGGGAGAGAAGGUUAAGGUGCUGCCAAGCUGUAGCCAUCCAUUCCAUCCGGAGUGCAUCGAUGAAUGGCUGAAGGCUCAUUCGAACUGCCCGCUAUGUAGGGCUUCUCUUGGGUGAUCGACGGCAGAGCCGGUGGCCGUCGUUUGAGAAGAAGAUAGGCUGAGAAUGGGGUUUGAGUCUGUGGAUAAGAGAGUGCAUGUCUUUUUAUAUUUUCUUCUCUAUUUCUUUUCUUUUUUUUUCUUUUUUUGGGAGCUAUGGGCGUGGAACAGGAAGAGGCUGGCGGUGGAAUCCAUGGAGAGAUGGUGGCUUUUGGGUGUCUGCCAUGGAGGGGGCCCGAGGCACGGACAGUAUCGACAUUUUGUCUCUACUGUUGCUUUUGGCUUUUUGGACCUCGAUACAUUCAUCUUUUCUUUUUUC